GUUUAGCGAAGCGUGGUGCCCCGACUCGCGCUCAGCCAAUAAGCGAAGGCGGCGGCGGCGGAGUCGCUGCUCCGAAAGGCCUUCCACUUCCUAGGGGCAGCAGGUGAUGCAGUGGUUAAGGAAAUGAAUUUUCAGCUACAUAGCUGUAGACCCCAAUCGCACAAGUGAACAUGCUGUGGCACCUUCAGGAGAAGAAGACUGAUGUUUCUGACAAAAUCAUCGGCUAAGCAAAAAGUGUGAAAAAUCGUCAUUGAGCACAUCGCAGCCAUUUUCUGCUGCUUUGUUUGGAAGAUCUGAUUGUAUCUGUUUUCAGUGGAUGCUACUAGUUUGACUAGGAGUCUAAUUACUCAUAAGUGACAGGCAAUGUGUAUGAGCUUUACACUAGCAAUUUGUACGGUCAUUUUCUGCAGGUCUUCUGUUUUUCAAUCACAUGGGGUUCCCACAUGCUAGAUUUGCAGAGAAAAUAAAAUGCUGCCUUCA